rnacentral:rRNA from 1 species
GAACGGCAGCAUGAUCUAGCUUGCUAGAUUGAUGGCGAGUGGCGAACGGGUGAGUAAUACAUCGGAACGUGCCCUGUAGUGGGGGAUAACUAGUCGAAAGAUUAGCUAAUACCGCAUACGACCUGAGGGUGAAAGUGGGGGACCGCAAGGCCUCAUGCUAUAGGAGCGGCCGAUGUCUGAUUAGCUAGUUGGUGAGGUAAAGGCUCACCAAGGCGACGAUCAGUAGCUGGUCUGAGAGGACGAUCAGCCACACUGGGACUGAGACACGGCCCAGACUCCUACGGGAGGCAGCAGUGGGGAAUUUUGGACAAUGGGGGCAACCCUGAUCCAGCAAUGCCGCGUGUGUGAAGAAGGCCUUCGGGUUGUAAAGCACUUUUGUCCGGAAAGAAAUCGCACUUACUAAUAUUAGGUGUGGAUGACGGUACCGGAAGAAUAAGGACCGGCUAACUACGUGCCAGCAGCCGCGGUAAUACGUAGGGUCCAAGCGUUAAUCGGAAUUACUGGGCGUAAAGCGUGCGCAGGCGGUUGUGCAAGACCGAUGUGAAAUCCCCGGGCUUAACCUGGGAAUUGCAUUGGUGACUGCACGGCUAGAGUGUGUCAGAGGGGGGUAGAAUUCCACGUGUAGCAGUGAAAUGCGUAGAGAUGUGGAGGAAUACCGAUGGCGAAGCAGCCCCUCUGGGAUAACACUGACGCUCAUGCACGAAAGCGUNGGGAGCANACAGGAUUAGAUANCCCUGGUAGUCCACGCCCUAAACGAUGUCAACUAGUUGUUGGGGAUUCAUUUCCUUAGUAACGUAGCUAACGCGUGAAGUUGACCGCCUGGGGAGUACGGUCGCAAGAUUAAAACUCAAAGGAAUUGACGGGGACCCGCACAAGCGGUGGAUGAUGUGGAUUAAUUCGAUGCAACGCGAAAAACCUUACCUACCCUUGACAUGCCACUAACGAAGCAGAGAUGCAUUAGGUGCUCGAAAGAGAAAGUGGACACAGGUGCUGCAUGGCUGUCGUCAGCUCGUGUCGUGAGAUGUUGGGUUAAGUCCCGCAACGAGCGCAACCCUUGUCUCUAGUUGCUACGAAAGGGCACUCUAGAGAGACUGCCGGUGACAAACCGGAGGAAGGUGGGGAUGACGUCAAGUCCUCAUGGCCCUUAUGGGUAGGGCUUCACACGUCAUACAAUGGUGCAUACAGAGGGUUGCCAAGCCGCGAGGUGGAGCUAAUCCCAGAAAAUGCAUCGUAGUCCGGAUCGUAGUCUGCAACUCGACUACGUGAAGCUGGAAUCGCUAGUAAUCGCGGAUCAGCAUGCCGCGGUGAAUACGUUCCCGGGUCUUGUACACACCGCCCGUCACACCAUGGGAGUGGGUUUUGCCAGAAGUAGUUAGCCUAACCGCAAGGGGGGCGAUUACCACGGCAGGGUUCAUGACUGGGGUGAAGUCGUAACAAGGUAUC